GCGGGUGUGAUGGAAUCGGUAGACAUACAGGACUUAAAAUCCUGGGGCGUUAAGCCGUGCGGGUUCAAGUCCCGCCACCCGCACCA
rnacentral:tRNA from 1 species